rnacentral:tRNA from 1 species
CAGAGAAUAGUUUAAAUAAAAUAUUAAUUUUGGAGAUUAAAGAUGGAUGUAAUAUUUUUCUCUGA